UGGUGUAAAAUGAGGUGGUGGUGGUGGUGGUGGUGGUGGCGGACCGCCGCCUCCGCCUCCGCCUCCGCCGCCACCACCACCACCACCACCACUUCCGAUA
rnacentral:miRNA from 1 species